rnacentral:lncRNA from 1 species
AAAAAUAAGAUAUUUCAAAGCCUAACUUCCAUCUGAAGGUCUAAAUUUAAAUAUGUACCGUCUGAAUAUCGCUUCUUUUUGCUUCAUGACUAGCCCUUGUCCAGUUUAAAAAAUAAUAAUCACUGACAUAGGUUGCUCGAUGCAGCUAUCACCACAAGAUCCUGCCCCAUCUUUUAGCAUUUGGCUGAAAAAUAUCCUACAGCAUCAUCGACAACCCUCCAUCGUAACUUUUGAUAUCUUCAUACCCUAUUGUCUUUGGGUUAUAUGGACCUAUCGCAAUAAACACCUCUUCUAAGGGCAACAUGGCGCUCUAUCCCUAGCUCUUACAUUAAACCUAGCAACACAAUAUCGGUACCUUGUAGGUGAUUCAAAGAUAAAACGAAACCCAUUCACAUUAUAUGUCAAAUGGAACCUACAAAAGAUGAUUGUCCAAUGUUGAACACAGAUGCAACAUUAUCAUUGAAUGCCAAUAUAGGGGGUUUAGGGGGAGUUUUUCGAAACAGUGUGGGCAAGUGGGUAGUGGGGUACACUGCACGCACAAUUGCACAAGAUAUUUCUCAUCUUGAACUCUUGGCUUUAUUUAUAGGAUUAUAGCUUAUAAUGGAGCACCAUCUAAAGCCAUUGGUGAUAAAUGUGGCUCUACACUAUUGUGUGAUUGCAGGUUCUCCUCCGAUAGCUAGGUAAUCCGGCGCUUAUCCAUAUCUACAGAGAGCAUAAUAGACUAGCGGAUAGUCUAGCGAGAAAGGCCAUCUCCACUGCAUAACCAUCCACAUUAUCUACUCCGUCAACCAUGACUGCUACUACUUUUUGAUUGCCUCCUCAAGAUGUGUUAAACAUUUUGCACGCUGAUAAAUGAGGAGACAUAGUUCCCAAACUUGUGAAGACUUUAGGAGUUUUGUCGCCCAGUACAUCGGUAAAUAUACCUACUAGUACUACUUUAGCUACUACUGGAUAGUCUAUAGAUAUUGCACAAUGUGCAUAUACCAACCAAAUUCUUCUCUGUAAUUUUUGUUAUGAUGCUAAUUUCUCUUAUAUAUAAGUGCAGGAUUGGUGUAGGGGUGUGCAUCGAUCGAUUUUUGUGUGUUAUUAGUUCGAUUUAUCGAUUUUCGAUUUUUAAAUAUGCAAAACUAAUAACCAACCAAUAAGAUAUUUUUUAUCGAUUUUCGGUUUAUCGAUUUUUGAUUCUUAACGGUUCGAUUUUUGGUUUAACCAAUAAGAAAAAUACUCACAAAAUAAAAAUAGCAACAACCAACAUAAAAAAAACAAAAUCUUAGUUCGCCAAAUCCUACGAGUUUUAGUUUACAAAAAUCUUCAAACUUGAAUUGAAUGUUAGUUGAAAGAAAAAAACAAAUCCUAGUUCUUCAAGCUUUUCAAAAUAUCCAGAUCUUGCCAAAACUCUUCAAACGCUUCAAGCUUUUGAAAAUACCCAAAUCUUGCCAAAAAUCUUCAAACGCUUCAAGCUUUUGAAAAUAUCCAGAUCUUGCCAAAAAUCAGACACCUACAACAUAUCACAUAACACCUUACAAUUCAGUCAUAACCUGAUGAUGAAAGUGAAACAGAUGCUGGCAGAGGCAAAUUCAUAAAUCUAGAGAUUGGAAAGAACAAGGAAACAAAUAAAGAAGCUUGGGUCGAACCAUGAAAAUUCGCUGAAGAGGCCUAAGUACAGAAAAUCAAGAAGUAUACUGUAUACAUAAAUCAAUAUAAGCAAUAGAAAUCUAAACGUAAAUGGAACUCAUUGGUGUUGGCACAUAAACAUACUCUUGUUCCCAACUUUCCACCAAGCUGCUUAUCGCGAGCUGGUAUUAGUGAACUACAUACAACAAGCAACUGUAAAACACUAAUUUCUUCAAGAAGAAAGUUUUUAUAUUGAUUAAAAAACAAAGAAAACAGUAAAACACUACCACAAUCCUGUAAAAUAAGGAUUUUCUAAACCAAAAUCUUCCAGUUUCCAUCAAAUAACAGAUCACUGAACACGCUGUCAAACUUAGAACUAAAUAAAUAAUUCAAAUAACCAGGAAAUCCCCGUAACGACCACCAAUGACAAAUAUAGUUAUUGAACCAGAACAAGCAGUGAGAUAGUGCUUUCAAUGACAUAAUCUGGAUCCCUGAAUACAAAAACAAAAAGAGAGCAUCCCCUACGUAAAGAUCUUAUUCCGGUAGAGUAACUGAUGUAGUCUAGCACACAAACCAAGAGAAAGUCUGCCCAUCAAUGACAGGUAAUAAAAUGUAUUCGAGAAAGUUAAAAUUCAAACUGUAUACUCGGAUGUUCUGAUGAAAUGCGACAUAAGGAAUUGCAAAAUGUUAGAAAGGACAUUUUUUGUGUUCAGGUCCACAACAGAAUACUAGUUUUUGGGAGAAAGGAGAAUUACUUUCAUCUUCUUUUGAAUUGAUAUAAAGUUGACCAGCCCUCUGAUUUAAAAAUAGCAAGAUCUAACAGAUUGUGUGAAAUGACCUUUAUUUAGGGAUGAACUUUUCCAAGCUAUCAUGAGUCUUUCUAGCACGGUUAAUAGCAUGAAUCUGCAUAAAUGGUGGCAUAUCCAAAGACACAACUUUCACACCACUACAAAUAAAGAAAUCACCCAACUCAAUCUUUGAACUGCAAAAUGAUUUCCUCCUUCCACCAUUCUUGAAUUGUAGUGCUAAUAAAGAUUGCUUUUUUAUCUCAUCAAACUCCUUGAACCUUUCAAUGUCUUGACUCUUAGACAAAUUUACACACCCCCUUUUAACAUCCACCUCUUUGUUGAACUCUUUAUUACCCUUAUUAUGGGGCACUUUUUUCACCUUGACCAUAGUAGGGUUCCCAUGUUGAUUUUUUGACUUGGUUAAAGGUGUACAUGAUGAAUCAAGAACUGAUGAACUAGUCCAAGAUUUGGGCUUUAAGUGGUUAUUAAGUGAAUCUGAUGAAUGCCCAGAAGAGUCUUUUGAGUUAGAUUUAAGGAUUUUAUGAUUGGAGAUGUUGUUGUCUAGAGCUAACAUGUGUGUGUCGGAUUCUCCGAAAGUAGUACUAUAUUUUUUCGUCGAAAGUGAAGAGUCCGCGCAACUUAAUUUAAAAUUCGGUUGGACAUUUGGGUGAAAUGGAGGAUAAGUGACCAUAACGAUGAGAACACCAUGCCCGCAACUGGUUACAACACUGUUUAGGUACUAAAGCCUACUUGAUCAAAAAUGCAUUGACCAUAGACUUUUGUGAUAUAAUAAUCCGACGAAAAGAUAUUGAGGGAAACAUGUGAAAUAAUCAGCUACAGAUCAGCAAAUUGACAAAUUCCCUCCAAGAAAAUAAAGAACAAAUGACAUACUGCAUCAUGAGACUAGAAAACAGACAGACCUUCAGUUUCCACCAAAUUUUAUUUCAUAUUGACAUAUGAAUCAAAACUGCUACAAUACGUAGCAGUCAAUGUGAGAACCAAUUAACCAUAUAAUUGUGAUCAACAUGUGGCAGCAUUAAACUCGACACACAAGCUUGUUAAACAUCAAGAAUCACAUUCCAUCCGAAGACCCAGUUCAUAGAACUAGGAACAGCCUAAUUGCCAAACAAAGACCCGUUCUUCCUUCAGAGAAAAUUUAAGCAAGCAAUAUUGGAUUUACAUAGUUGUUAGACUAUUCAUUGUAUUCAAUGACUAAUUUUAAGAAAAUAUAUGACUUAAAACAAAUUAUAGCUAGGAUAGGUGGCUUACCAGAUGCCCAGAUUCAAGUGCAAAAAAGAAGAACCUCAACUCCACGUCAAUCAUCAAGAAUGCUAGUAUUAGCCAAUUCUACAGAGAAUUUAUAUUAAUCGGUCACAAAACUGUUAACGACUGUUUACAAUAAUAAUACAAAACUAAUACAAUUAGAAUAUUUUUACCUUGUUCAAGCUUUUUGAGGACAUCUAUAUCUUCCUCAAUACUAAUAGGUUGUGAUUCACUCCAAAUACAAUCUUGAAGGCACACUAGAUUUUGCACCAAUUUAGGAGUUAAUGAACUCCAAAAUGAAUCCAAGAUACGUCCACCGGUACUAAACGCACACUCGGAUGCCACGCUUGAAAUGGGAAUAGCAACACAUCCCGAGCCAUCUCAACAAGAAUAGGAAAUCUGGGUGAAUGUAUUUUCCACCAAGACAAGACGUUGAAGUUCUUGGUUUCACCUUCAUUUGCUUCAUCAAGAUACUUUUGCAGUUCUGUUUUAACUGUUGUUGUAUUUCCAGCUUUAUGUUUCAUAAGAUCAUCCAUAAAUGACCCUAAAGACCCUAUCGAUUGAACAGUACUACCAGAACUCGAAGGCAGUGAACUAGAAUUUUCAAAUAAAGAGCUAGAUGAAGAUGAAGAAUGUUGACUAUCUUUAUCAAUUGAAAAAAACUUUACAUACUCACCAUACAUCAAAUUCAUGUAGUCUUUCACCCUGCUCUCUAAAACUAGUCCUUCUUUCCCAAACAUCAUCCGAAGAGCGAAACCAACCAAAACAAACUUGUGCCGAGGAUCCAGAACACAAGAAAUAAAAAUCAUCUUAUUCAUUUUCUUUGGACUACCCCCAAUACUUAUCAAACUUUUCUUUCAUAUUCGAUGCAAUUUUACCCAAAAGAUCAUCACCAUCAUCGUCACUCGAUAUCAACUGCUUCAAAUAACAAGAAAGCUCCCAAAUUUUAAGAAAGUGUAAAUUUAAUGUGACAUAGAGUGAUUCAGAUACUUCUUUGGUUAGAUCAUAAUUACAUGGUCCCAGUCAUCACUCGAAAGUGCACCGGCAGCAGUUCUCUCUUCAUCAUCAACAAACUGAAGGUAAUGUGAUAAGCCCAAUAUCACGAUCAACAUAACUCAAAAACCCAUUUUCACACUCAAUCGCCCUAUUCAACAUCAAGUAUGUGGAGUUCCACCUCGAAGAAACAUCCAAACAUAACGAUUUUUUACUAUUGAUAUCAACAUCUUCACAACAUUCUUGAAACCUCUUACACCUUGCAGGGGACUGCCUUAUGUAUUUCACUGUUUUUCUAACCCUUUCAAUGGACAUGCUAGGCACUUUCAAACAUCAAGUAUGUGGAGUUCCACCUCGUAGAAACAUCCAAACAUAACGAUUUUUUACUAUUGAUAUCAACAUCUUCACAACAUUCUUGAAACCUCUUACACCUUGCAGGGGACUGCCUUAUGUAUUUCACUGCUUUUCUAACCCUUUCAAUGGACAUGCUAGUCACUUUCAAACCAUCUUGGACAAUAAGAUUAAUAAUGUGAGACAUACACCUUACAUGAAGUUGUUCUCCGUUCAUGAAAUUAGUUUCCCAUUUAGUGAAUGUCUUAGCUAACUCUUUCACAGUCACAUUGUUCGAACUAGCAUUAUUGACUGUGAUGGUAAAAAUUUUAUCUAUGCCCCAAUCACGUAAACACUUACUAAUCUCAUUAGCCAUGUCUUCACCUCUGUGGCUAGUAAUUGGACAAAAGUUAAUUAUUCUCUUGUGCAUAAUCCAUUUACUGUCGAUCCAAUGUGCAGUGAUGCACAUAUAAUUAAUUCGCUGCAAAGAGGUCCAAGUAUCAGUGGUAAGACAGACUCUUUGUUGGGCUUCUCUAAAUGACCUUUUCAACUUCUGUUUCUCUUCAUCAAAUAGUUUAAAACAGUCACGUGUCACAGUGGUACGAGAAGGAAUCUUAAAAUGAGGUUGCGCUACUUUCAUAAAGUUUCUAAAACCUUCCUUCUCAACAAAUCUGAAGGGGAGUUCAUCCACAAUCACCAUGCGAUAUAAAGCUCUCCUACAUUGUUCUUGCUCAAAUUUCCACGAAACAACAGCCACAUCACCUGCAACACCCCCUCAACAGAUUGAAAGCCUAUUUCGGUUUUAUUUUUGUCAGCAGAUUGAUUUCGAGGCAUCUUUGGACAUGUUAACAAAUGAGUAAGCAUUAACGUCAUACCAUUUUUACUUGAAUCAGCAAAAUAAUCUUGACCACAAUGCUUACACUUUGAUUUCUUAUUUCCUUCUUCAUCAACAAAUGAUCCAAAAUGAUUCCAUGCACGAGACCUUUUUUUUUCUUUCUUUCUUUACCUUCAUCUGGACAAAAUUUGUUUGACGCGCAAUAUUUGAAUUAAUGCUCUAAUCGGCUAGGAUCACUGCCUCAUCAGUUGUAGUAUUUUCAGCCAUAUGUAUGUCACUGUAAAAUAGAAUUUAGACAAUAAUUAGACAACAAAUCAUGAAAUACUUUCAAAGUAAACAAAAAUUAAGAAAUUCUUAAAAGGAAUCUUGAACAAUAUUGAAAUUGAAAUUGAAAUUUAACUCCAAUUGUCAAGUUUGAUUCGGGUCCGGUACAGAAAAGCAGUGGUGGAUGUACAUGUAUUCCAGGCUUCAUCAAAACCCCUUCGUCGGAAAAUUAUACUAUUUUUACAUGGUAAAAAAAAAUUAUGUAUAAAUAAUAGAGGCUGCGGCUAGUCUGUAUAUGUACUACUGACCUCACUCAAAAUCCUGGUUUCGCCCCUGCAGAAAAGGAUAGACGAGUUUGAAUAAUUACUCACGAGUCAGUAACGUUGAUAAAAUCCUCACCGUCCGUUGACCCUCGCCGUUGUCGUAGCCGGAGUGCCGGUUGCUCGACACCCUCGUCGUUUCGCCUCUCCAGUUGUCGCCUUGUCGGUUGAGUCUUUAGUGGACUGGUUUGCUUCAACUUUGUGAAUUGUUGUGACUGUCUGACUGCUUUAAGAAUGUGAAUAUUUAUCUCCCUUAACUGUAUCGUAUAUAAUAUUAAUAGAUAAUAAAUAAUAUAACUAUUUAUUUAUAUAAUACAUAAAUAGGGGUAGAUUAAUAAUUUUAGUGUAUUCAUAUUGGGUUAUCGGUUUAACUGAUCACCCAAUAGGUUAAAAAUUAAAAUUGAAUCGAUUAUUCAAUAAAUUUUUUUAUAAAAUCAAUAACAAAUCAAUAACCCAAUAUCAAUAACCCAAUAGUAUUUUUAUUGGUUCGAUUUAUUGAUCGGUUCGAUUUUUGCACAGCCCUAGAUUUAUGUACCUAAUUUAUCUUUUUUUGGCUACACCAAUCCUUUUUUUUUUUUUUUUAUUAUUAUUAUUAUUAUUAUUAUUAUUAUUAUUAUUAUUAUUAUUAUUAUUAUUACUUUUUUGAGAAAUUAGUAUUAGUAUUAUAUUAUUCAUUUUUUUACUAUCACUAUUACUACUACUAUUAUUAUUAUUAUAUUAUUAUUAUUAUUACUAUUAUUACUUUUUACUAUUACUACUAUUAUUAUUAUUAUCAUAUUAUUAUUAUUAUUAUUAUUAUUACUUUUUUUUUACUAUUACUACUACUACUAUUAUUAUUAUUAUAUUAUUAUUAUUAUUAUUACUAUUACUAUUAUUACUUUAUUUUACUACUAUAUAUAAGUGAAGGUUGGGAUGACUAUCAAGGACUGGGUAUCUCGGUAAUUUUAGUGACCCAUAUUAUUAUUAUUUUACUUUACUUUCCUACUAUAUAUAAGUGAAGGUUGGGUGACUAUCAAGGGUAUUUUGGUAAUUUUAGUGAUUUCAUUUUUUUUUUACUAUUCUAUUACCACCACUACUACUAUUAUUAUAUUAUUAUUUGUUAUAAAUGUAUUUACAUUAUAAUGAAUGUCUAUCAAGAUCUAAUAAGAUCUAUCAAGAUCUAGUUGAUAUCUAUCAGGAUUAGAAGUAUCUGUCUUUUAGUCAUAUACUAUGAGUAUUUUCUUCUAUAAAUAGAGAGGUUUUGUUCAUUGUAAUUCUUAAGAAUUUUAUGAUCUCAUCCCCCAAGAGAAAUAAUUGUUACUCUCUAUUCUCUCUCUACUUUUCUUCUUUAUUCUUUGUUGUUUUAUUACAAGUUAUCAGCACGAGACUCUACCAAACAAGGUGAGAUUAUAAAUCUAAAGGUAAUUGCAAGGUUGGUAAUUCUUUAUGUUAUCUUUCUUUUGCUACUAAUAAUAUAAUUAUUAUUGAAUUUGAGGAAAAAUAAUUGGUUUCGAAUCAUUUAUGCUUUAAAUUUAUUUCUCAAGAACAAUAUUAUCAAAAAGGGAUGAUAAUAUGUUGUGUUCAAGUCCUAUCGAGUUAUUGCCUAAGACGUCUUUAUAUGGAUAAGAUAUUGAGUUAUUGCCUAAGGCAUAAUAAUGGGUGCUUGAUCAAAAGUCAUAAACCAUAUCCCAUUAAUAUGCUUUAUUCCAUGAAGUGAAUAUGGUAGCAAUAUAUGAUAAGUCUGAAAUACGACAACUUACUUCAUUUUUUAAGUGUAUGUGAUAGCAGUGCAUAAUAUGUCUGCAAGAAGACGAGUGAUUGAAUGCACGAAUAUACGCGUGGAGGGACAAUAUGAUAAUAAUCAUCAAAAGUGAUGAUAUUUUCACGCGCAUAUUAUGAUCAUAAGAUAUGUUAGAGAAAAAUUCUUUAAAUCAUAUGUACGUCUCGAUUUGCUCCUGAAGUAGCAAUAUCAUAAAAAAAGGUUAUAAGCUAUCAAUUUGAUAGGCUUAAGACACGAUUAUAUUUCAUUCAUAAGAAUGAGAAUUUUAAUUAUUAUAAGCAUAGAUCUAUUCCCUGAGUGAAUGUGAUAAUAUUUAGUAAAGCUUAUCAAUACAAACGUGUACUUGAUUAUGAUGGUAUCACAACUUAUCUCCGAACAAGGCAGAAUAACUAAGACGAGUUAUUUCGAAAUCUACUUCUAAAGUAGUAAAUCUGAAAUUAAUUCAUGUAAUAGUAAAUCUAAAAUUCACUAAAGUGUAAAAGGUACAUGUCAUGGUAAAUUUGGAGUUUACUAGAAUAAAAGUUCAUAAAUUGAUAUACGAUUGCGACAUGUCAAAAAUGUGCAUACUGAGUAUUGAACAUAUAUUGAAGAAUUAGAAAAUUCUUUAUGGACUUGCUUGUUCUCAUCAUAAGUUAGUUGGACCAACUAAUAUUGGGAUUUGAUUCCUCAAAAUCUGAAAAAUAUAAAAGGUGAAUAUGGGCUCGUUCACCUUUCAUGUGAUAUAUUGAAAAGAUGCAUCAAUAAGAUAAUCACAUAUACAUUCAUUGUCAACCUGUAAUUUGACAUUCAUAAAGUUGUUUGCUCAAUGAAAUUGAGUUAAGAGCACAACUUUCAGAUUGUGUAAUCAAGACAAUUUAUCUUGAUGAUGAUGGUUUGGCAUUGAAUGUCUUCGAUAAAUAGCUAAAUCUUUGCUAAUGAGAAAAAGCAUCAUGUGUUGGUCUAAAAUAUAAUAUAUUACAUACAAUAGCACUUGUAUGCAUUAGACCAAUAGAUUAUGAUUAUUUUCCCCCUUUCAAUUGGUUCAAGGUCAUGAAUCAAAUAUUCCAUCUAAUAACUUUGAUGUGCGGUAUACAAUUAAUGAAUAUACCAUGAUGCAUAAAGAUGGAUUCCUCAGAAAAGAUGGAGGAUGUAUGUUUGUUUUUCUAACAUAAGGGGGAGAUUAUAAGUGGCUAUAAAAUAUGUUAGGAAUUAUCACCAGAUCCUCAUUCAAAAGAUAAUUCUAGUCAAAUGUCGAAUGCAUCUCAUAUUUAAGCUGCAAGUGCUCCUAUUUUGUGUCCUUAAAGGACAAAGUCUAUGCAUGCAUGAAGCAUGGUAGACCAAUCAAUUCCAAAUAAAAUAAUCCUUGAAAAAUAAGGAGCAAAUAAUUAUAAUAAGAAGGCAAUGUGCUCUUGAAGAGCCUACGACAUAACACUUCAUGAAACCUUAUGAGAGGUUCAGGUACCUGAAAAUAAUGAAGUGAUGAGAUCUCAAAAUGUUAUGUCACAUUAUGAAUAUAUAUGAAAUGAUAUAUCAUCAAUGAUAUCUUUGAUACAGUAUUGGCGCAAUAUUGUGAAAGAUUACGAGGAUCCGAAUUCUACGUUUAUUUAAGCAUGCUGACGUAGAAACAUUUAUCAAGUGACAUGAAAGGGUGUAUCUUGGUAAGUGAAAACUUAUUUGAUUUGCACUCCACACAUUUGAAGAUGUCACACAUGAAAUGUUGAAUAUUGUCACUUGACAAAAUAUAUCUUGCAAAUACUACAAGGCCUAAUAUAGCCUUUUCGAUUAAUUUGUUAGUAAAGUAUAGUUUUGCUCCUACUAGGAGACAUCGAAAUGGGAUAAAAAAUAUGAUCUUAUAUUAUUCUAAAGAUUGUAGUCUCGAUCUUAUUGAUUAUGCUGAAGCUAGGUAUUUAAUUAACCCGCAUAGAUUUUGACUCAAACAGGCUAUGUGUUCAUAUGUGGGGAUAUUGUCAUAUCUUAGAGAUAUACAAAGUAGUCUAUCGUAGCCACUUCAUCGAAUCAUACUGAGAAAAUAGCUAUUCAUGAAGCAAGCCGAGAAUAUGUAUGGUUGGGGUCCAUGAUACAUCUCAUUCGAGAAUAAUGUGGUUUGAAAUGUGAUAAUAUACCCACAAUUUUAUAUGGAUAUAAUGCAGCAUGCAUGACACAUCUUAAAAGGGGAUUCAUAAAAGGAGAUAGAACGAAGCACACUUCAUCAAAACUUUUUAUACAUGAGCUCCAAAAGAAUGGUGAAAUUAAUGUGACAGA